UCUCUCUCUCUCUCCUUUCAAUUACAGGGUGUCUCUAAAGGCAAAGCACCAAAGCUCUAGCGUCAGCAGAAAUACAAGUUGGUAGCAGAAGGGGAGACACCCUCCAAUCCCCAGUGCAGGCAGCUCUUGGCAAGGUCGGGCAGUGGCUGUGCAGGUCCCACCCUUACUGCCCCAGAAUCCCCCUGGGAUGAGGACCCUGGCAGAGCCAGCACUGCAGUGCAGAGAGAGAGGGUGGGGAGCUUGGACACCCAGCCUUUUGUGGCACUUUGCUCCUUGGCCUCCUGCACCUCUAGGACAAAGGAGCGCCUGGGAGCUGCCAGCAGCCUGGGGGCACCACUGGGUUUGACAAGGAAGGACGAAACUUGAUCCCAGCAAACGGGACAAGUCAUUGUGCUGUUCUGUGAGGUGACCCAGUUCUGUGAUCAGAUGCUAGGCUCUGAUCACACUGUAUCUCUCACACCCACUGCUCGCACCCCUCGGCGCCCGAGACUAACUCUACUUGGAUAAAGAAGACAGCUCUUCUACAUUGCUUGGGGCCUCUCUCUGGCCUGUCUCCCUACUGUACUGCUGCAAAGGAGGACACAUCCUGAUAGAGGCCACCACUUCAGCGGCAGCCUCCACAGUCCCUGUAAAACAACCACAAAAGGGUCUCUGCGCUGUUGAGUGUUUGGUACCACUCACCAUGGAGGCUUAAUCUUCAUCACAGUGUUUUGAAUUCAUUCCUCACUUCCCUGAACUGCCUUCCUCAUUUCUAAGAUAGUAGCACGCAUAGCAACAAGCUCAGUGUUACUGUAAGAGUUAAGUAAGAUAGUGUAGCUAAAAGCACAGAGUACCAUGUCCUCAGCUAGCAGUAAGUGUUUAAUGAAUAUUAGGUAUACUCAUGGUUUCUGAUCAAUAUUGACUAUAAGAUCUUAUCACUAGGGACUAGGGAGAUAAUCAAUAAACUGUUUGCUAUGCAA